UACGGGGGGGGCAAGCGUUGUUCGGAAUUACUGGGCGUAAAGGGUUUGUAGGUGGCCCGCUAAGUCACACGUGAAAUCCCUCAGCUUAACUGGGGAACUGCGUGUGAGACUGGCAGGCUCGAGGGCAGGAGAGGAACGCGGAAUUCCAGGUGUAGCGGUGAAAUGCGUAGAUAUCUGGAGGAACACCGGUGGCGAAGGCGGCGUUCUGGACUGUCUCUGACACUGAAGAACGAAAGACAGGGGAGCAAACGGG
rnacentral:rRNA from 1 species